rnacentral:rRNA from 1 species
AGUCGAGCGGGGAAGGUAGCUUGCUACCUGACCUAGCGGCGGACGGGUGAGUAAUGCUUAGGAAUCUGCCUAUUAGUGGGGGACAACAUUCCGAAAGGAAUGCUAAUACCGCAUACGCCCUACGGGGGAAAGCAGGGGAUCUUCGGACCUUGCGCUAAUAGAUGAGCCUAAGUCAGAUUAGCUAGUUGGUGGGGUAAAGGCCUACCAAGGCGACGAUCUGUAGCGGGUCUGAGAGGAUGAUCCGCCACACUGGGACUGAGACACGGCCCAGACUCCUACGGGAGGCAGCAGUGGGGAAUAUUGGACAAUGGGCGAAAGCCUGAUCCAGCCAUGCCGCGUGUGUGAAGAAGGCCUUUUGGUUGUAAAGCACUUUAAGCGAGGAGGAGGCUACUUAGAUUAAUACUCUAGGAUAGUGGACGUUACUCGCAGAAUAAGCACCGGCUAACCCUGUGCCAGCAGCCGCGGUAAUACAGAGGGUGCGAGCGUUAAUCGGAUUUACUGGGCGUAAAGCGUGCGUAGGCGGCUUUUUAAGUCGGAUGUGAAAUCCCUGAGCUUAACUUAGGAAUUGCAUUCGAUACUGGGAAGCUAGAGUAUGGGAGAGGAUGGUAGAAUUCCAGGUGUAGCGGUGAAAUGCGUAGAGGUCUGGAGGAAUACCGAUGGCGAAAGCAGCCAUCUGGCCUAAUACUGACGCUGAGGUACGAAAGCAUGGGGAGCAAACAGGAUUAGAUACCCUGGUUAGUCCAUGCCGUAAACGAUGUCUACUAGCCGUUGGGCCCUUUGAGGCUUUAGUGGCGCAGCUAACGCG